rnacentral:lncRNA from 1 species
AUCCACCAAAGGGAAUACCAUCUUUAACAGCACUUUCCCAGCAUGUAUUUCCAAGUCAGCCAUCCUUUCUUAUUUAAAUUGUUCUUGUUAGAAGCUUGGAAUAGAGUGACCUUUGCACCAGCACAAUUAGGGUCAUUUAUGGUUAACAAUGUUUCGGGAUCUGGUGAGGUUUUAUCUACCAAAAUGACGCAUUUCCUUAAUGGUUCUUGGCGUUCUGGUCAGUGGCGAAGCCAGCGUCGUGUGAGUGGUCAUGCAAACGAGCGCCAAAGGCGUGAGACAUCCUAGGGGGGUCCGGAGGCAUGCCCCCCCGGAAAAUUUUUGAAAUAUAAACCCCAGAAACGCCAUUUGCAGCAAUCUGAGCAUCAAAUUUCGGAAAAUAGCUUGACCUAAUGAAGGAAAAGAUGCGGAUAUUUUGGCAUAUUUCAGACAACAAUAAUGAAGAUCAACACAAAAAUAGGAAAUCUGUGGUCUGCAGUUCCGCUAAUUAUAGUCAUACCGGCAAUUGUGUAUUUCUUUUCGAUACAUUAUGACAAAUAGCUGCUAAUACAGUCAGUAUAAUCUAGAAUAUAGGUAUAAUAUGCCGACUUGGUCACUUGGAAAAUAUCACGCAUGAGCCUUGAUUACAAUAUUAGAUACGGAAAGGAAUUAGGGAGUAUGUACCAAAUGGUAAAUACAAUUUAACGAUAUAUAUUGAAAUUUCUUUGUUUGUUUCACAAACAAAGAUAUAUCAAAUAUGUUGCUAAAUCACAAUCGCUAAAAUAUUUGUGUUGCGUGUUGAAAUGUAUAAGCCUUGCAGUGCUAUUUAUAGAACUACAUUGUUUACUACAUUGACCUCGACAUUGACAUUGUAUUUCAUACACUUUACAGUAUUAUACUAUAGAUAGCGCCUCGAUGCUUUAUACGCCUAUGCUCGGGUUGAAAGCUUAAAUAUUCAAGACAAAAUAACAAUAACUAAAUAAUACUAAUAGCUUAUUUAGCCUAAACCAUUCUUUCUUUGAAUACCACAACAUUUGAAAACCUUUCCCGAUCGGGCAUGUCGAAAGAUCUGGCGUUGGUCUCUGCUUGAUAAACAAUAAUAUUCUGCUGAGUAGAAAAUGGUUUUUUCACUAAUUCCCAAACAAUAUCGUUAGCUUCGAGUAAAGAAGAAGUCGACAUGCUUGAAUGACCUGAAGACGUCUUCAUUCAGGCUGAAAGCUUCGAGCUAAGAGGCUGUGAUCAGGUUGUGUUGCCCGUUUAGUCAUGCAAAUCGAAAAGUGCAUGACCAAGGCGUCAAAAACAGCUGCAUUGCGCAUGCGCGAACGUCGUAAGCCAAUCAGAAACCAACAAACCUAAUAUAAAAUAAUAUAGCUAGUCAUGAAAUUCUGAAAAUGCAUGACCAAAACACACAGCGAGCAAACCACGCAGCAAUCACACGCAAUCGUUUUCCACGCGCUUACGCAACCGGUCAUGCAUGGGAAAAUAUGCAGGUAACAAAGCCGAAAUCAAUAACAUACGAGAAUAUUUAGCGAAAAUAUCGACCUAAAGACCACUGAUUUGGGUAAACAAAAUAAUAAAUAAAAUACUUAGGCGUAGAAGUGCAAAGAUAAAGUAUAAUUCUAUUGUAAACAAUUAUACUGAACUGAUUUUUAAACAUUUUUGGGGAAAUUUUUAGUCAUGACCUGCAUGACCGCUGGCUUCGCCACUGGUUCUGGUAGGGUGUUACUUUCUGGGGCAUCUGGCAAACACUGCAAGUCUUCAACAAAAGGAUCUUGCUUCUCUUUCAAAUUGCCAAUGGAAUCCUACACAUGUGCGUUAAUAUGAUUGGAUGUGAAGGUUGGGGGUAUGAACUUUUCCACUGUUCCUAUUGUGUCAAAUAUUGUGUCAUUUGGUAACAUGCUGUGCUCUUUCUCAAGCACAUCACUGAUAUCUUGCUCUAGUAAAGGAAUCACUUUCCUUUGUUUCUUCACUGGAGAGGAAACAUCUACCACAUCAAUAUUUUU